UACGAAGGGGGCUAGCGUUGCUCGGAAUCACUGGGCGUAAAGGGUGCGUAGGCGGGUCUUUAAGUCAGGGGUGAAAUCCUGGAGCUCAACUCCAGAACUGCCUUUGAUACUGAGGAUCUUGAGUUCGGGAGAGGUGAGUGGAACUGCGAGUGUAGAGGUGAAAUUCGUAGAUAUUCGCAAGAACACCAGUGGCGAAGGCGACUCACUGGACAUGUAUUGACGCUGAGGUGCGAAAGCGUGGGGAGCAAACAGG
rnacentral:rRNA from 1 species